CCUCCUAUUCUCCUGCUCAACACACACACAUUUACAUCUGACUGUUCUGUUUAUCGAUGACUCAAGCUUGCCGUUUUCUUUUCCGGAUACACAGUCAACACUGGAGCUCCGGCACCUCGGGGCCUAAUGGACUGAUCUCGACUGUUUACAGCUGUGCCCUUUUCUAGAAUGACUCACAAAGGAACAAAGAGGCCUCUGUGUGCACGAGAGGAGCUUUUCCUAUUCUCAUCAACAGGACCCACCAACACCAAAGAACUACAGACUCUUCACAACCUGCUCAAACUCUUGGUACAGGACCUCACCACACGGGUCAAGAAGGUUUCCAUCUCAUUUCUACUCUGAAGCUCACCUUCUCCUGCUCAAACUGCUGACAAAUGUUUCUGCUGCUCUAAAGUCUGGUCUCCAGAACUUCCUAAAAACUCUCAAAGUCUCUUCUGCUGCAGGUUGCUUUGUAGAACUGUUCCAGAAAACCUCACUAAACCACAUGGAGGAGCCUCAAGAUAGUCGUCCAAAUGAAACCAUACAAAAACCAAACUAUCACAACCCAAACACUAAAGUCUCCUGCAGCCUACCAGAGAACCUCUGAGAACAGAGAAUCAGGACAGGAACUCUUACCUUCUGGACAACCAACAUUGGUUCACAAACAAGAAUACAGAAUGUGUCUGACCAAAAACCUCUAAAGACUCACUACAGCCAAGAUAAAGACACAACUCAACUGCAGCAAAUCCACUAAUCACUGCACACAUUAGCACCAUGUGCUAACUGUGGCUAAAGAACCACAUUUACCAAGACAACUAUCCAGUACAAAGCCCUAAAACACACCAAGAAACACAUUAAAGACGAUUUUACUGCUGGAAGCUGCAAGCUAACGCCUAAAGAACAAGCUAAAGCAACAGAGCCAAACCCAUUUCAGUGAAGAGAAACAGAGGAAAUGUUUGUCUGCAGCUAAAUAAAGCAGGAAGACACUGAGCUGCUCAGGUGUUCCUGAUAACACCAAUCAGCCACCUGGACAGCCAAUAAGAACACAGCUUACUGGAAGUCCAGAGGGCUGGGUUAGUGAAGGAAAUUUAAUUUAAAGUUGAAGCAGAAAAUUAACAAAGAAAGUUGAAAACCACCUUCUGAUACCUGAAAUCUCUGAGUUUUCACACAAAGAACACCUGAACAUGUCAAACUGGUUCCAUAGUAGAACCAUCAUUGUAAAAACGUCAUAGUAUGGUGUGUUGCUCAAAAAACAUUAGGACCCGGCUGUCAGGGGACAAACAUGUAAGAAACAUGAGAACAGAGAGAACCCAACCAGUAGGUCACAGUUUAUCAUCCCCCAGUCAUCUCCUGAAGUCCAUAUGGUGAGAGACAUCAGUAUCUGGUUGUUCAUUUACCAGAGGAUGCUUAUAAUCAUGCUGAUGUGGUCUGUACUCUACAGUAUUUUAGUGACUCAAUAAAUGCCUAAGUUGUUUUUUUUUAAUGCUUUUUAGUUUUUAAUCAACAUUGAAGAGCCUAUAUGUGAUCAAUAAAUGGCCUUUGCCUAUCUUAAGAAAAAUUCACUCAGAACUCUGAUAUGUUAACAGUACUAAAUAAAUCAAUAAAUACAUGCAUACACACAAAAAUAAGUUAAUACAUUAACUGUGUUAAGAUAAGAUUUAGAUUUUUAAAAAAGUUGUUUAUGUUUUUGCAGAAUCCAGUAUUACUCACUGGUUGGUCAUUACAUUUUGUUAGUUUGAUUUCACUGUUUAAAAUGAUGCCACCUCUUUUCAGACAGAACCUGUGAUAAUAAAACAAUACAAAAUUUUUAGUUCUGUGUUAAUAAAGCACUUAAAGCUUUAAGUAUGGCUAAAUGCUUUUUUCAAAAUUAAAUAUAUCACUCCUUAGGUGGUAGUGGCCCCAAGUUCAGUAAAGUUGGAAAGAUAUUCACAGAUUCGGCUUCCAGCAUCAAUAACUCAUUAGAUAUCGGUUGUCAAAACAUAAACGGUGCCUCUUUCCCAUUGUUGCAAGGCAGACAAUGUGCUACAAGCCCAGUUUUAUCAAAAGUAGCUGUCUUUCAAGCUACAGGAAUAACAUUGGUGUCUAUGGAGUGAACAGGGUCCGUCUGCAAUUUGCAAAACCGCUGCAACAGUAAAGAGAGACAAAUAUUCAAUAACUUCACUCUUAUACAUUGUAGUGUCACUAAAAUCACUGCAGCCUUCAACUGGCUCCUGUUGACAAAGUGUUUUAACAGAAAUGUAAAUGCUGUAAUUUGAUUCUUUUAAUGAACCAUGUAACUUGAAUGGAUGUGAUGCUGGUGUGACCACAGUGCACACGUCUGAUGUUGCUCACAGUGGUCCAAGGAAUGCUCAGGGAGUUUGUGUGUUUGCUCAGACUCAUGAAAAAUUAGAGGGAACAUUGGUCAUGAGUGAUGUAAUUCAAAAAAUACUGAGAAAUGAUAUUAUUAUGCAUUGCAAUAUCGACAUCUCUUGGAAAGAAUCUGCAUUUUUGUUACGUUUCGUGUUUUUUAUUGAAAAAACAAACAUUUAAAUUAGGACGUGAACUCUUUAGCUGCAAGAUGAAUAAUAUUUUAACUUCACAGAUGUGUUACUGAAUAGAUAACACCACACAAAAUAUAUCAACAACAGCCAAUAACUCUAACAAGCAUACCAGUCAGCACAUCAACAGUAAGAUAUGAACAUUUGAAAUAUCUCUCCCAGUAAUAUAUACUUUACGCAACAGAGAACUUCUUGUUUUUUGUAACAUCUUUUUACUGCACAAAAGAAAGUAAGACCAUUGCACUGUUGUUUGGUCAUUUAGAGAUGAGGUUGGCCUUCUCGUUGUUUUUACACUGCGGUGAAUCAGGUAUAAGGACCCCUUCAUGGAGGACAGGUUGAGUUUGUAAUGCAGAGACCACACAGUCAAGAUCAGGACCUGCAACAACAGAAGAAAAGGAGGCAGGUUUGAGAUUUAAGCAAGCUUUAAAAUGUAAGUUGACCCUCUGAAGCCCAGGCAGGGUCUGGGUGUUGUUUGAUUAUGUCACAUUUUUACCAAUACUGGGAAAACAGUGACUCUAUCUAGGAUAAAUAUUUACUAUUUACAUUUUCUGUUUCUGUACUUACGUAAUAUCUGCUCUGUGUAAACACAGCAUGCAGUUCAGCCUAAAGGCUCCAAACUGUUGUCAUGUAGCUGUUGGUUGUUGCUGACUCACUAAUGGCUUCACAGUUGUAGCAAGAAGUGCAGAAUAUUUUGUUUUUUUUACAGAAUCUGGUUAGAGCAAAUGUUAUAUUUUUAGACAUUGUUUAAAUGUAGAAUAAGAUGAUAAAACAUCAAAAUAUUAAGCUUAGAUUGGCUUAAUUUUUUUUUUGAACUGCAGGUUACAGAUGAGUAGUUCAAGGGCUGUUAAAAAGUUGAAAAUUGUUGAUUUUUUCUGGUUUUGCAUUUUGUAGCUCUGAUAUAUGGCAUUAAUUUGGUGAUUUUUUAAAAAAUAUCCAGAGUUUCAAACCCGCUAGCACAGGGGUCCCCAACCACCGGGCCCCGGACCGGUACCGGGCCGCAAAGAAUGAAUAAUCGUGAUUAAAAUAUAUAUAUAAAAAAUACGUUUUUGCUUCCGGGUGUCUCAUUUUGAAAGACAACCACUUCCGCCCACGCCUAACUUCCGCGCUUGACUCUGGCGCGUAUUUAUCCUGCGUCAGCAAUGCAAGCUAGCCCUCGCAAAAUGAGCCAGAAACAGAGUUCACUGGAGAGUUUCUUUGGAAAGAGUAAACGAGACAACGAUGAGACAGCAGAAGGGUCACAGACUGCCUGCAAAAAGAAAGCUGCAUUUAAAAGAAAAUACCAAGAUUCCUACCUGAGUUACGGGUUCAUCGCAACAGGUGAUUCACAAGCCCCACACCCACUCUGUGUAAUAUGCGGUGACAGACUUGCUAAUGAAGCCAUGAAACCAUCAAAACUACGCCGCCACAUGGAGACAAAACACCCAGCAUUGAAAGAAAAGCCCUUAGAAUAUUUUGAAAGAAAAAAACGGGAACAUGAAGGACAGAAACAAUUAUUGAAGGCCACUACUUCAACAAAUGUGUCCGCGCUAAAAGCAUCAUUCCUGGUCGCGGACCGCAUUGCUAAAGCUGAGACGCCUUUUACUAUUGGGGAAGAAUUGAUUUGGCCUGCUACAAAGGACAUUUGCUGCGAACUUUUCGGAGAGGCUGCAGUAAAAAAGGUCGAAAACAUACCCCUUUCGGCGAGCACCGUAAUGCACCGUGUUUGCACGGACGGAGAGGCUGCGAUGACUGGGCGGCUUUCAGGUUUCAAGAGAUGGAUGCAGAACAUAGACGCCUUCUCUUGUACACAGAAGUGAGAUGGCUUUCAAGAGGUAAAUCGCUGGCAAGAGUUUUUGAGUUAAGAGAGUCACUGCAGAGAUUUUUCUUGGAAAAACAGUCACCACUGGCAGCAUACUUCAGUGACGCUGAUUAGAUCUCGAAACUUGCUUACCUGUGUGGCAUUUUUAACCUGCUCAAUGAACUCAAUCUCUCACUUCAGGGGAAAAUGACAACCGUUUUCAGGUUGGCAGAUAAGGUUGCAGCAUUCAAAGCCAAACUGGAGUUAUGGAGACGGAGAGUGAACACAGGGAUAUUUGACGUUUCACAUAUAGCAGGGAUUAUGGAAGAGACUGAGUUUGGACCUUCAUUCACCCAGUUAGUGCAUGAUCACCUGUUGCAGCUUUCAAAAGAGUUUGAGCAUUAUUUCCCCAUCGCAAAAGACCCCAGGCUGGGGAAGGAAUGGAUCCAGAACCCAUUUGUGAACAAGCCAGGGGAAUCAACUUUAACCCUACAAGAAGAGGAACAACUAGUUGAGGUUGCAAAUGAUGGUGGCCUUCAAUCCAUGUUUGAAACAACUUCAAAUCUCUUUGCAUUCUGGAGUAAAGUCAAAGCAGAACAUCCUGACAUUGCCACAAAAGCACUGAAAGUCCUGCUUCCAUUUUCAACCUCUUUGUGAGGCGGGGUUUUCUCCAGUGACAGCAACAAAAACAAGACUACGGAGUAGGCUGGAUAUAAGGAAUACAAUUCGAGUGUCAUUGUCUCCCAUCACCCCCAGAUGGGACCGUCCAGUUGCGGGAAAACAAGCCCAGAGCUCCCACUGAUUCUACAUUUUGAUGAAGACGAACUCCCCCUGAAACAAAGAAGUCCAAGGACAGUGCGUCCUCUGAGUGCACAGAUAGAAUUGGUAUCAGCCCAUCUCCUGGUGAGAUAAAAGGUCUGCACACCAGCCUCCUUAAAUAAGAAGAUGCUUUGUAGGAUGUAUCCUUUUAAAAAUGUCAAUGUGAUUCAAUUGGUGAGUCAUAUGAUGUCAGAAACUGGCUUUAUAGCUUCACUUAAGUUGCUUUAACCUUAAUAAAAGUAAACGUGGUUGGAGAUCCUUCAAGGAAAUGCAAACUGGGUGUUUGUAUCAGAAACUGUACAGAAACAGAUACUGAAACUGGAACUUCAGAGCCAGUGUGCAUAUAGCUGCUACAGUAAUAGUUUUAGAGAUGUUAGAGAAAUUAUUGUGUCACUAAAGGCAAUAAGGUAACAGCAGCAGUAUUAGUAGGUGUAGUAGUAAAAGUCAUGCAAUAAUAGCAGCAGUAACAACAAUAUAAGUAGUAAUUGAUCAUAGGAAGUAGGACACAGCUAUGAUGAGUAGUACAGUGUAGUUUGAAGGCAGUUUUUCUGUGAUAUUAAUGCUGCUGAGGAUACAGUUUUACCUGAGA